rnacentral:rRNA from 1 species
AGCAGCCGCGGUAAUUCCAGCUCCAAUAGCGUAUAUUAAAGUUGUUGCAGUUAAAAAGCUCGUAGUUGAACCUUAGGCCCGUGCGGGCGGUCCGUCCUCAGGGCGAGCACUGCCUCGUCGCGGGUCUCACCUUCUGGCGAGCGUGGAUGCCAUUCAUUUGGUGUCUGCGGGAACCAGGACCUUUACCUUGAAAAAAUUAGAGUGCUCAAAGCGGGCUCUUACGCUUGAAUACAUUAGCAUGGAAUAAUGAAAUAGGACGACGGUUCUAUUUUGUUGGUUUCCGGGAUUGUCGUAAUGAUUAAUAGGGAUAGUUGGGGGCAUUCGUAUUCAAUUGUCAGAGGUGAAAUUCUUGGAUUUAUUGAAGACGGACUACUGCGAAAGCAUUUGCCAAGGAUGUUUUCAUUAAUCAAGAACGAAAGUUGGGGGAUCGAAGACGAUCAGAUACCGUCGUAGUCUCAACCAUAAACUAUGCCCGACUGGGGAAUCGGGCGAUGUUAUUUUUCGUGACUCGCUCGGGCGA